rnacentral:lncRNA from 1 species
CUACUCUUUAUACUCCUUAUCUACGCUACUCCUGAUCUCGCGUAACGAGUCUAUAGGCUAAGGGAGAAGAAGCGGCGUUUGGAAUAAGCAUCGGCUAACUCUGUUCAGUAAGACAGAGGAUGCGUUAUCCUGUGGAGUCAGGUUCCGAAGGCGUAACUUGACAGGAUAGUGGAGGAGCGAGAGCGCGACGGAUUCGCAUUGUUCCAUAUACCGGAACCAUUAGUUGCCUUUUGCAAAACCAGAAUCAGUCGGAAUUGCCCCACGUUAUUAUGGAGUAGUAGUAAAGGAUAGGUGGUUCUAGACUCUGAAUCUGCAUGCUAUCGCCAUCCCCUCUCCUCCUGUAAUGCGGUUCCAAAACCUAACGGGCGAUCCAUCCAUCCCUAAACCCUCUAUUCCUUUUCUCUGCCCAGCUCCAACUAUUGGUUGGGAGGGAUACAUGUUCCCGUCCCCACGGAGUGAUGGAAUCGAACAGAUUCGGUUGGGUCGACCUUCUAUAUUACCUAGUUGCGCAUCUCUCGUCCUUAUCCCUCGUCCGGAGCCACUACCCCCAAUGAAUAGUUUCUCCCAGUCCGACUAGAGCAAUGAGGGGAGUGAGAGUGGUCUUCCCUUGCGCCCAACGCGUAUCACUACUAUGAGGCGAGGCGGCAGCUAGCGAUGACCAAGAAGAACAUGUUUUAUCCUACCCAUCACAACCAUAUUCCUUAGUCGAUCCCAUCCCGAAGCCGACCCGACCCCCUUCAUUCCUCCCUCCCAUUCUUUGAAGAAAAAAGAUCGGAAAGACCUCGAAUGACUGGCUUGCUUAUAAAGAAAUAGUAGUCUUUGUACCACUUAAAUUCAAAUGAAGAUUUCUACCCGAUUUUACCUUUUUUACCGGCCGGAAAGAGAAUAAGCCGCUGCUAUUAAGGAGCGAAUAAAUAAUAGCGCGCCGCGCGCUCUCCCAGCAAGAAAGCCGCUUAGGCUUUCGCGCGCCGCGCGCUCUCCUUUCCCUAAGCUGCUUCCCCUACAAUCUUUGUUGUUCCUUCCGUGAGUUGUUUAUGGUUGCUCAUUCCGUGAUGGAGCCGAGGAAAGGUUGUUUGGAAGUCUUCUCUCUGCGGUGCGUAAGGCCAGCCAAUAAACGCUGCCGUAGAGCCAGAUGAAGGAGAGAGGCUUGCUUCACUGGGGUGGGAAUAAUAGAUAGAGGAGAAAGGUUCUGUUCCGGCAUCAAACAUCAUACAGCUUUUAUGCUUGCUUGGCCUGUCAAGUGGAGCCUUCGGAACGUCGACUCCACAGGUAGUACGUUUCCUUCAUCGCGCUGAUGGAUGGCCGGGCGGAGGGAACCAACAACAAGUCUUUAGCAGAUGAUCUCUCCCCCGGAGUAGCCGGGUAAUUUCUCUGAUGGUUGGGUGCUUCCCCGUGCUGCUCGCUUUCCCUGCCGUCUGAUGGGACAUGACCAACUUCGGUCGAGCGGAUUCAUUCCUAAGCAAAAAUAUAGGCUCUGACACAGAUGCGCCUAUCCCUGUUUACCGGGCCCCGAUCUCGUGUUUCCCUAUUUCAGUUCUUGGCCCUAGCGGCUCAUAUUUCAAAUAAACACCGCGGCGGGGAAGAAAGAACAUCAUGGCAUAUGCCUUCAUCGCGAGAAAGAACCUAUCCCUCGCCUUCCUAUCGGAUUGAAGCAAAGCCUGCCCAUAUCUUAUCUGCUUUCCCACCUGGCUUGUUCUUCCCCACCGGACUAUCUACACACCCCAUUCACUCGAAUAGUCGGUCCGAUAGAGCUUUCGAACAAAUGUACCCAUCCCGCAGGUGAGAUUCUUUCUUCAGCGGCGGAUAGAAAGAUGCGCCUGGGCGGCUUGAAUCGCAAGGGUAUAAAAAAAAGCCGGAAAAUCAUAAACAGCUUAGGGUAAGCAGCUUUGAGAGAGCGCGCGGCGCGCUAUUAUUUAUUCGCUCCUUAAUAGCAGCGGCUAACUCUUUUUCCGGCCGAUAAAAGGUAAGCUCUUUGUUGUUGAACGGAGCAUCUUACUUACGAGAAUUGUGACGCGCUUAAAGCCAGGAAAAGCACUUUCAGAUACCAACCGCACUCAAAGUACUUGCUAAACCUAGCCCACCCAUAAAAGGCUGAUGGUUGACUCGCGGUACUUGGGCUAGCCCACCCUAACUUCUCAUCUUCUCUGCCAUCUGAAUGUGCACAU